UACGAAGGGGGCUAGCGUUGCUCGGAAUCACUGGGCGUAAAGGGCGCGUAGGCGGAUUUCUAAGUCGGGUGUGAAAGCCCCGGGCUCAACCUGGGAAUUGCAUUCGAGACUGAAUAGCUAGGGUACGGUAGAGGGAAGUGGAAUUUCCGGUGUAGCGGUGAAAUGCGCAGAUAUCAGGAGGAACACCAAUUGCGAAGGCAGCACUCUGGGACGUGACUGACGCUGAGACGCGAAAGCGUGGGGAGCAAACAGG
rnacentral:rRNA from 1 species